GAGGGUAUAGCUCAAGUUGUAGAGUGCAUGCUUAGCAUGCAUGAGGUCCUGGGUUCAAUCCCCAAUACCUCUG
rfam:Camelus ferus unplaced genomic scaffold scaffold336, whole genome shotgun sequence.